AUAGCUCGCCGAAAGGUGAGGUAAUCCUCAAUGGUGUGGGAAGUACAUAUGUACAUCCCACUAAAGCUUUAGCGCUUCGGGAUGAGUCUGCGUCCUAUCAGCUUGUUGGUAGAGUAAAGGUCUACCAAGGCUAAGACGGGUAACUGGUCUGAGAGGAUGGUCAGUCACAGUGGCACUGAAACACGGGCCACACUCCUACGGGAGGCAGCAAUUAGGAAUCUUGCACAAUGGAGGAAACUCUGAUGCAGCGACACCGCGUGAAGGAUGAAGACCCUCGGGUUGUAAACUUCUUUUAUAAUCUAACAAGUUCUGAGUGGAGUAUGAAUAAGCACCUGCUAACUGCGUGCCAGAAGCAUCGGUGAAGCGUGGGGUGCGAGCGUUAUCCGGAUUUAUUGGGCGUAAAGAGAUGCGUAGGCGUUUUGGUAAGUCUUCUGUCAAAGCCUUCGGCCUAACCGAAGAAAGGCAGAGGAUACUAUCAGAAUUGAGACAGAGAGGGGGAAGUGGAAUUCCCGGUGGAGCGGUGAAAUGCGUUGAUAUCGGGAGGAACACCAGUGGCGAAGGCAACUUCCUGGCUCUGUUCUGACGCUGAGGCUCGAAAGCGUGGAGAGCAAAGCGGAUUAGAUACCCGUGUAGUCCAUGCUGUAAACGUUGGAUACU
rnacentral:rRNA from 1 species